rnacentral:rRNA from 1 species
CAAUAGCGUAUAUUAAAGUUGUUGCGGUUAAAAAGCUCGUAGUUGGAUUUCUGCUGAGAACGACCGGUCCGCCCUCUGGGUGUGUAUCUGGCUCUUUCUUGGCAUCUUCUUGGUGAACGUUGCUGCACUUGACUGUGUGGAGCGCUACCCAGGACUUUUACUUUGAGGAAAUUAGAGUGUUUCAAGCAGGCAUACGCCUUGAAUACAUUAGCAUGGAAUAAUAAGAUAGGACCUCGGUUCUAUUUUGUUGGUUUCUAGAGCUGAGGUAAUGAUUAAUAGGGAUAGUUGGGGGCAUUCGUAUUUAACUGUCAGAGGUGAAAUUCUUGGAUUUCUAGAAGACGAACUACUGCGAAAGCAUUUACCAAGGAUGUUUUCAUUAA